UAAUAGUUUACUGUUGUAAUUCAUUUAUAACAUGUGUUGGACAACUUAGCUAAUAUGUUAAUUGAUUUAUACAAUUCCUUUCAAUUUUAUCUAAAAAUAGCAGACCAAAAUUAAAUAAGAAAGUUACAUAAGAUUCCAUUUGAGCAUACAUAAGGCCAUGAUACUUUAAUGUGAACCACCAUUUCUUGGAAGAAAGAAGACAUCCAAAUGUCCGAUUCAGAGAGAAAGUUCCUGGCCAGUCAUCCAGUAGACUCUCUCCACUCUUCAAUGUGAAGGUAUGGCCCAUCUCCUGUACGCUUGGAGCGACCUUUGGCUAUGUGGCUGGCCUUGUUAUUUCACCACUCUGGAUAUACUGGAAUAGAAAGCAACUUACAUACCAGAACAAUUAACCGGAACAAAGGGAGAUAUUUCUUUGUGCAGAUUCUGUAAGGGCUGUGCAGAAAUGUGUAUGGUCAAAGCCAAGCAGUUCCAUUUACAGCUCUGUUUUUUAUGUAGUUACAACAUGAUGUGAUUGUAGCUUUUUAAACUAUGAAACCUCUGAGAGAUUGUACCUUCUAGUUGAAAUAAAGUAUUUAUAAUA
ensembl:lncRNA novel transcript